AUUGAACGCUGGCGGCACGCCUUACACAUGCAAGUCGAACGGUAACAGGUCUUCGGAUGCUGACGAGUGGCGAACGGGUGAGUAAUACAUCGGAACGUGCCUAGUAGUGGGGGAUAACUACUCGAAAGAGUGGCUAAUACCGCAUGAGAUCUACGGAUGAAAGCAGGGGAUCGCAAGACCUUGUGCUACUAGAGCGGUCGAUGGCAGAUUAGGUAGUUGGUGGGAUAAAAGCUUACCAAGCCGACGAUCUGUAGCUGGUCUGAGAGGACGAUCAGCCACACUGGGACUGAGACACGGCCCAGACUCCUACGGGAGGCAGCAGUGGGGAAUUUUGGACAAUGGGCGCAAGCCUGAUCCAGCAAUGCCGCGUGCAGGAUGAAGGCCUUCGGGUUGUAAACUGCUUUUGUACGGAACGAAAAGCCCUGGGUUAAUACCCUGGGGUCAUGACGGUACCGUAAGAAUAAGCACCGGCUAACUACGUGCCAGCCGCCGCAGUAAUAC
rnacentral:rRNA from 1 species